rnacentral:ncRNA from 1 species
UUUGGGCAAAUUUGAGACAGUUAAUAUGGAUCAGAGGGAGUAGAAACAAAUCCGAUAUUGCAGCACGAGCAACUAGGUUUAAUAUGACUAGCUAGAAACUGCAUCACCGAAGAGGCACACAGCUUACCAAAAGGUGAUGACCAGUAAUUGGUAUGAGAGGAUGAUCGGGCACGCUAGGACCCAGACACAACCUAGACUCCUACGGGAGGCAGCAAUGUGGAAUUUUUCUCAAUGUGCGAAAGCCUGACGGGGCAAUGCCAAGUGGAGGUGGAAGGCCUGUGGGUCAGUGAACUUUUUUUCUCGGAGAAGAAACGAUGAUGAUAUUUGAGGGAUAUGUGAUUUUCCGGAGAAAAAAAAUCAA